rnacentral:rRNA from 1 species
UGGGGAAUAUUGCACAAUGGGGGAAACCCGUGAUGCAGCGACGCCGCGUGAGCGAAGAAGUAUUUCGGUAUGUAAAGCUCUAUCAGCAGGGAAGAAAAUGACGGUACCUGACUAAGAAGCCCCGGCUAACUACGUGCCAGCAGCCGCGGUAAUACGUAGGGGCAAGCGUUAUCCGGAUUUAUUGGGUUUAAAGGGUGCGCAGGCGGCGCGAAAAGUCAGCGGUCAAAGUUCCGGGCUCAACCCGGUGACGCCGUUGAAACUUUCGGGCUGGAGUUCGUGCGAGGGAGGCGGAAUGCGUUGUGUAGCGGUGAAAUGCAUAGAUAUGACGCAGAACCCCCGAUUGCGAAGGCAGCUUUUCCAGCACGCGACUGACGCUGAGGCACGAAAGCGUGGGGAGCGAACAGGAUUAGAUACCCUGGUAGU